AGAUGGCAGCGGUCCUGAAGCAAGAGUACAGACAUUUUUUUCUUUAGUUUGUUUGAUGAUCCAACUUGGGCAUGUGAAGAAACACAUCCAUGUAUCUCUAUCGCCUAGUGCUCAGUGGUAAAAAGAACUCUCAAGUGCAAGGAGAGAAGAAGACCACUGUCAAACCCAAGUCAACUGCUAACAGCACCCACCCAACCACCCAAGUCAGAGGAAUGAAAGCACAGAACACACCAGGUGCUAAGCAUAAAUGAAAGUUGAAUCUGAAGACCUCUGCCUUAUGAUAGCACUCUCUUGGUUAAUAUGGGAGUCUUACCCACACCUGAUUUAAUAUUUUGACUCGAUUCCCAGCUUCUUCGGGAAAAAAGGCUUCCAUUGAUUCAGAGAAAGAGAUAGAGAGAACAACAGACUGAAAGAGAUGAACUCUGGAAAAGACCUGAGAUCUUAAAAAUAUUUUCGAUGCUGUAGAAAAAAGUAAGGAAGCCAAAUGCAAAAGCCAAAGCAGGAGGUUUGAUUCUGUGUAGCAAUUAUUAUGCAAAUACACACAAACAGAAGAGAUUGUAGUUCUAUUAUAGAAACACAGCUUUGCUGCUUGUUUAUAAAAUGAGAACGUCAGAGUAAUGAACGGUUUUCUUCAAAUCCCAAAGCACUCCACAUUGAGACUGAUUUCAGGGACCGAGGUGGCUUUCCUUCUGCAGCAAUUUAUUUUCUGAAGAUUGAGGCGGGAAAGGCGAGGUGAAUGGACAUGACCACUUGUUCUAGAGUCUUAGAACACAGCAGGCCUUUAAGGUAUGAAACUCCAUAGGCCUUUUUGGUGACUCCCUUACUCCUCACCUGUCCAAGCUAAGGAAAGCGCUUAAAAGUGCUAAGUGCCUCCCUGGUCACCCAGACCCUGCAAUGCCAACCCCAGCAGCCUUGGUCCCCUUCCAGAGUCAGAUGACAUCCUUGAAGUCCCCUGUAUUAAACAAGUGGAUGAGCCAAGUUUUCUGCAAGCGCCAAGUCCAGGUGUUGAAGCCAGACCCUCCUGACCACCGUUUUAAGAGCUGAUUGGAAACCUAAUGCCUGAAGUUCUUUAAAAUGUUCAGGCUAUGAGAAGGGAAAGGGUAGGACUUUGGGGGUUGGGGGUGGGGGAGGCUGUCUGGACUCAUUCUGGAAACCAGAAGAUGAGACACAUUUUUUUUUUUUUGUUUCACUAAGUAGCUUUAUAUAGCUUGAGAAUUUGAAACUACUUUGUCAUGAUUAUGAAACACGAGAGAAUGGUUUAAAAUCUUUCAAAAUUGAAACUGGGAGGAUCAUCAGACGGAAAAGAAGGAGAGUGAUUUUUAAGUUUUUAUUCACUUCCUUAUAUCACGAUCUUUUAUAGACCAAAAGAAAGAAACAGUAACGCCAGGACCGCCUCCAACCUUUUCAUCUGCACGGUAAUGUGGGGGUCAGGAGGGGAAUUCAGAGGGAAACAGUAAUUUGGCGAAGGAGAAGGAAGUUACAUGCUCAAGACCAGGCUGGCAAGGACUGUGAGAACCCCCUUAUGGGGGAGACCAUGCUCAGUAAACAAAGUUGGUUCAUCUUCUCUCAAUUUCUCGCCACACCCUCCAGAGCCAGUUGAAUGAAAGGACCCCAGUUAUUGGGUUCCAAGGAAGGAAUUUGUUUUCUGGACUAUCAGGGAUCCUGGAAGUGUUGAGCUUUCACCUCCAGGAUAUUUCUCCAAGGCACAAUGAUCUUGAGGAUUCUCAUUUAGUUUGGAGCUUGGGAACUGGAUGGGUUUCUCCUCUCGCUUCCUGAGACCAAAGAAGGUGGUACCUUGAAACUACAGGGAUGAAGAUGAUCCAUUUGGAGGCGAUCAUGAAUUCCAGGGGGCUUCUAACCAUCAUCCCUGAGACUGUGACUAACAAACUUUGAGGAACAAGAGAAUAGCGGAAAAUUCUGGUGAGCAGGACUGCCUGGGACAGAAGAAACAAGAAAUCUAAGUAGUGGAUAUUCGAAUGUAGAAGAUUCUAUGGGUGAAUAUAAGAAGAAAGUAUGAGAACGUGAAAGAGCAAGGAAACAAUAGUCUGUCACCGUCGAAGCAGCGACUUCUCUGUUCCUGAUCAUGGGGCAGUAACACAGUCCUAGAAAAGUCCCCUACAUGUAUUUAAACAUCCCACCCCACCCCACCCCACCCCA